AAUUUUCUUUGCCGAGUGUUUUAUUUUUGACACUCGGCAAAGAAGGUCUAUGUCGAGUGUCAAAGAAAAACACUCGCCUAAGAAUUUU
rnacentral:pre_miRNA from 1 species